UGGGGAAUACUGCACAAUGGGCGAAAGCCUGAUGCAGCGACGCCGCGUGCGGGAUGAAGGCCUUCGGGUUGUAAACCGCUUUUAAUUGGGAGCAAGCGAGAGUGAGUGUACCUUUUGAAUAAGCACCGGCCAACUACGUGCCAGCAGCCGCGGUAAUACGUAGGGUGCAAGCGUUAUCCGGAAUUAUUGGGCGUAAAGAGCUCGUAGGCGGUUUGUCACGCCUGGUGUGAAAGUCCAUCGCUUAACGGUGGAUCUGCGCCGGGUACGGGCAGGCUAGAGUGCAGGUAGGGGA
rnacentral:rRNA from 1 species